rnacentral:rRNA from 1 species
UACGUAGGGUGCGAGCGUUGUCCGGAAUUAUUGGGCGUAAAGAGCUUGUAGGCGGUUUGUCGCGUCUGCUGUGAAAAUCCGGGGCUCAACCCCGGACUUGCAGUGGGUACGGGCAGACUAGAGUGUGGUAGGGGAGACUGGAAUUCCUGGUGUAGCGGUGAAAUGCGCAGAUAUCAGGAGGAACACCGAUGGCGAAGGCAGGUCUCUGGGCCACUACUGACGCUGAGGAGCGAAAGCUAGGGGAGCAAACGGG